rnacentral:rRNA from 1 species
CCUACGGGAGGCAGCAGUGAGGAAUAUUGGUCAAUGGGCGCGAGCCUGACCCAGCCAAGCAGCGUGAAGGAUGACUGCCCUCCGGGUUGUAAACUUCUUUUAUAAAGGAAUAAAGUGAGGCACGUGUGCCUUUUUGUAUGUACUUUAUGAAUAAGGAUCGGCUAACUCCGUGCCAGCAGCCGCGGUAAUACGGAGGAUCCGAGCGUUAUCCGGAUUUAUUGGGUGUAAAGGGAGCGUAGAUGGGUUGUUAAGUCAGUUGUGAAAGCUUGCGGCUCAACCGUAAAAUUGCAAUUGAUACUGGCAGCCUUGAGUACUGUAGAGGUAGGCGGAAUUCGUGGUGUAGCGGUGAAAUGCGUAGAUAUCACGAAGAACUCCGAUGGCGAAGGCAGCUUACUAAACUGCCACUGACAUUGAUGCUCGAAAGUGUGGGUAGCAAACAGGAUUAGAUACCCGGGUAGUC